ACAUUGGUGGAGUUACCUCUCCUGCUGUGGUUUAAGAACUCUUGACAUGGCAUAGAGGUAUCUGUUCUGCCCUGCAGAACUUAGACCCUGUAUAGACAAGAAACAAACAGAGUAGGAUGGGAAACAGAGGAUGGGAAAGCCCAGUUCCUCAAUGUUAUGUAGGCUUCUAACUUCCAUUGAUUUCAGUAGAAGCUAGGAGCCUAAAUACCUUUGAGGAUCUGGGCUGAAGUGACUUGCCCAGGGUAACAUAACAGCUCUGUGGCAGAAUUUCAAAUAAACUCAGUCUCCUGAUUCCUAAUCCAAUGUCUUAACCCAGUAGACCACACUGCCUCUCAUUAUUUAAAAUUAUGAAGAGCUCCUUUUUAAAAAAAAAAAGAAAAAAUAUCUUUUUAAAAUCACUAAUCCAAUGAGUUUACAGAUUGUCUAUAGCCUUAAUUAAUCUGAUACUGUGGCAUGCAUAUUAAAAUAUUUGGAAAUAAUUUCCUUCAUUCUUUACCUGCCAGGUUUCAAGUGCUGGGUUCUCCGCCUUCCCUGGGGAUGCACAGAUAUAACAAAAGUUAGAAUCUGGUCAAUGGUACGCGGUAUGUAUAUGGUUAUAUUUUUCUUUUGCGGAAUGAAAAGAGCAAAUCUCCCUCCAUAACUGCUCUAUAGAUAUUCCCUUCUCAAUCCAGUUAGGCCCCCUGCAU